UGUAUGACACCUGAAUGGUGACAAAGGUGGGCAGGACGAGAAUGCUAAGGGAGAAUCUUCCUGUGCCCUCUGAGUCUCACUGCCUUGCCCCUCAUCUCCGCGCUGCUUUGAAGUUACAAAAGUCCUGUGAUCGUGCAUUUUCCAGAAUUUCUCUGGAUACACCCCUGUCGUUUAGGAUCUGUGACGAGAUACUCGAGGCAAAUGGAGGCAUAGAUCCACACAGAAGGCUGCACCAAAAUGUCCAGAGAUAUUUUAUACUCGUGACAGCCAAAGACAAAGGAACCUGGGGGAUCAGCUCUUAGGUGAGUAGACAGUUAGGAUGCAGGGUAUACGUACAGCAGAAUAGGGUUCGGCCAUGAAAGGGAAUGGCGUGCUGAAACAGACAAACACUGAAAACCUUUUGCUGAGCAGAAGAAGCCGGUUCCAAAAUACAGUACCACAUAUUUUGACUUCGGUGCAUGAAAUCUCCGAAAUAGGCAGAUCCUUGGAAGUAGAAAGCAAAUGUGUGAUUACACAGGGCUGAGAAGGACAGGAGAUCAGGAAAUGAUAAUAAGUGGUACACUUCUUCUGUUCUGAAGGCUUUCAUUUAAAAAUUGAUAAAAGAUAGACUUUUGUGGUGAUUUGUCAAUACUGUGAAUAUACUGAAACCCAUGGAAUUUAUUUACAUCACAC
rnacentral:lncRNA from 1 species